rnacentral:rRNA from 1 species
UGCGUAGGCGGAAAAUUAAGUCAGUGAUGAAAUCCUGCAGCUUAACUGUAGAACUGUUAUUGAUACUGAUUUUCUUGAAUUCAGUUGAGGUAGGCGGAAUGUGUAAUGUAGCGGUGAAAUGCUUAGAUAUUACACAGAACACCGAUUGCGAAGGCAGCUUACUAAGCUGAUAUUGACGCUGAGGCACGAAAGCGUGGGGAGCAAACAGGAUUAGAUACCCUGGUAGUCC